AAACCAACAGGGAUUGCCUCAGUAACGGCGAGUGAAGCGGCAAAAGCUCAAAUUUGAAAUCUGGCACUUUCAGUGUCCGAGUUGUAAUUUGAAGAAGGUAACUUUGGAUCUGGUCCUUGUCUAUGUUCCUUGGAACAGGACGUCACAGAGGGUGAGAAUCCCGUGCGAUGGGGAAUCCAGAUCUAUGUAAAGUGCUUUCGAAGAGUCGAGUUGUUUGGGAAUGCAGCUCUAAGUGGGUGGUAAAUUCCAUCUAAAGCUAAAUAUUGGCGAGAGACCGAUAGCGAACAAGUACAGUGAUGGAAAGAUGAAAAGAACUUUGAAAAGAGAGUGAAAAAGUACGUGAAAUUGUUGAAAGGGAAGGGCUUUGGAUCAGACUUGGUGUUUAGUACUCUUCACUCCUUGUGGGUGGGGCUCUUGCUUUAUACUGGGCUAGCAUCGGUUUGGGUGGUAGGAUAAUGACAUUGGAAUGUGGCUUCACUUCGGUGGAGUGUUAUAGCCUUUGUUGAUACUACCUACCUAGACCGAGGACUGCGUCUUUUGACUAGGAUGCUGGCGUAAUGAUCCAAAGCCGC
rnacentral:rRNA from 1 species